UUAUUUGAAUCAGGAUACAACCUCUAACAUCGGGUUAAUUUAGGUCCAUAAAACUAAGUAGGCCUAAAAGCAGCCACCUAAAAGAAAGCGUUAUAGCUCAAUUUCCUUGAACCUUAAAUCCAUUAAACUACUAUCAACCCCUCCCUACUACUGAACUAUUUUAUAUGUUAUAAAAAUAAUAAUGCUAGAACUAGUAACAAGAAUCCGCCCUUCUCCUAAAUGUGAAUUAAAGCCAAAAUGGACACUCCAUUGGCAAUUACCGCAAAUGCACUAACCAUAGUACCUCAUGCAAGAAAACCCUAUUACCCUCAGCGUUAACCUAACACCAGAACAUUACAGGAAAGAUUAACAGAGAAAGAAGGAACUCGGCAAAUUUCAGUCCCGCCUGUUUACCAAAAACAUCGCCUCUUGUUUAGAUAUAAGAGGUCCAGCCUGCCCAGUGACAUAGUUCAACGGCCGCGGUAUCCUAACCGUGCGAAGGUAGCAUAAUCACUUGUUCUUUAAAUAAGGACUAGUAUCAACGGCACCACGAGGACUGUACUGUCUCCUUUCUCCAAUCAGUGAAACUGAUCUCCCCGUGAAGAAGCGGGGAUAAAUAU
rnacentral:rRNA from 1 species